UAAAACACAGUGAUCCAAUGUGCUGGGUUUGGCUGGGAUAGAGUUAAUUUUCUCCACAGUAGCUGGUGUGGGGUGAUGAUUUGGAUUUAUGCUGAGAACCUGCUG